AGUGAACGCUGGCGGUAGGCCUAACACAUGCAAGUCGAACGGCAGCACAGUAAGAGCUUGCUCUUACGGGUGGCGAGUGGCGGACGGGUGAGGAAUACAUCGGAAUCUACUUUUUCGUGGGGGAUAACGUAGGGAAACUUACGCUAAUACCGCAUACGACCUACGGGUGAAAGCAGGGGAUCUUCGGACCUUGCGCGAUUGAAUGAGCCGAUGUCGGAUUAGCUAGUUGGCGGGGUAAAGGCCCACCAAGGCGACGAUCCGUAGCUGGUCUGAGAGGAUGAUCAGCCACACUAGAACUGGGACACGGUCCAGACUCCUAAGGGAGGCAGAAGUGGGGAAUAUUGGACAAUGGGCGCAAGCAUGAUCCAGCCAUACCGCGUGGGUGAAGAAGGCCUUCGGGUUGUAAAGCCCUUUUGUUGGGAAAGAAAAGCAGCAGGUUAAUACCCCGCUGUUCUGACGGUACCCAAAGAAUAAGCACCGGCUAACUUCGUG
rnacentral:rRNA from 1 species